rnacentral:rRNA from 1 species
AACGAACGCUGGCGGCAGGCCUAACACAUGCAAGUCGAGCGCCCCGCAAGGGGAGCGGCGGACGGGUGAGUAACGCGUGGGAACGUACCCCUUUCUACGGAAUAGCCUCGGGAAACUGGGAGUAAUACCGUAUAAGCUCUUCGGAGGAAAGAUUUAUCGGGAAGGGAUCGGCCCGCGUUGGAUUAGGUAGUUGGUGGGGUAAUGGCCUACCAAGCCGACGAUCCAUAGCUGGUUUGAGAGGAUGAUCAGCCACACUGGGACUGAGACACGGCCCAGACUCCUACGGGAGGCAGCAGUGGGGAAUCUUAGACAAUGGGCGCAAGCCUGAUCUAGCCAUGCCGCGUGAGCGAUGAAGGCCUUAGGGUUGUAAAGCUCUUUCAGUGGGGAAGAUAAUGACUGUACCCACAGAAGAAGCCCCGGCUAACUCCGUGCCAGCCGCCGCGGUAACAC